UUGAAAGGGAAACGAUUGAAGUCAGUCGUACCGGUGGGUAAUCAGCCUUUCGGCGUGAUUAUGUGGAGCGUGAGGAGUCAAACGCCCUCAUGCCUGCAUAUUCGUGUUCUUUGGGUGUACUUACCCGCAUGGUAGGUUAACAUCAAUUUCGAACGUCAUAAAAUGGUUGGAGGAAUGUAGCUUCGAUCUCGUAUUGAAGUGUUAUAGCCUUCGGCAGAUGUGAUGAUCGGGAUUGAGGAUUGCAACGGAUACCCCUCGGGCUACCCGUCUGAUCUCUGAAAGUUACUCUGGUGCCGAAAGCUCGCUUACGGUCAUCAAAGUUGACGUUCAACAGAUUAGAACGGGAUAAAUUCGUUAAGGAUGUUGACGUA
rnacentral:rRNA from 1 species